AGUUGGUGAGGUAAAGGCUUACCAAGGCGACGAUCAGUAGCUGGUCUGAGAGGACGACCAGCCACACUGGGACUGAGACACGGCCCAGACUCCUACGGGAGGGAGCAGUGGGGAAUUUUGGACAAUGGGGGAAACCCUGAUCCAGCCAUGCCGCGUGAGUGAAGAAGGCCUUCGGGUUGUAAAGCUCUUUCAGCCGGAACGAAACGGUCACGGCUAAUACCUGUGACUACUGACGGUACCGGAAGAAGAAGCACCGGCUAACUACGUGCCAGCAGCCGCGGUAAUACGUAGGGUGCGAGCGUUAAUCGGAAUUACUGGGCGUAAAGCGUGCGCAGGCGGUUUUGUAAGUCAGAUGUGAAAUCCCCGGGCUUAACCUGGGAACUGCGUUUGAAACUACAAGGCUAGAAGGG
rnacentral:rRNA from 1 species